UACAGAGGUCCCAAGCGUUGUUCGGAUUCAUUGGGCGUAAAGGGUGCGUAGGCGGCGCGGUAAGUCGGGUGUGAAAUCUCGGAGCUUAACUCCGAAACUGCAUUCGAUACUGCCGUGCUUGAGGACUGGAGAGGAGACUGGAAUUUACGGUGUAGCGGUGAAAUGCGUAGAUAUCGUAAGGAAGACCAGUGGCGAAGGCGGGUCUCUGGCCUGUAACUGACGCUGAGGCGCGAAAGCGUGGGGAGCGAACAGG
rnacentral:rRNA from 1 species